rnacentral:rRNA from 1 species
GAUGAACGCUGGCGGCGUGCCUAAUACAUGCCAGUCGAGCGAACAGAUGAGGAGCUUGCUCCUCUGACGUUAGCGGCGGACGGGUGAGUAACACGUGGAUAACCUACCUAUAAGACUGGGAUAACUUCGGGAAACCGGAGCUAAUACCGGAUAAUAUAUUGAACCGCAUGGUUCAAUAGUGAAAGACGGUUUUGCUGUCACUUAUAGAUGGAUCCGCGCCGCAUUAGCUAGUUGGUAAGGUAACGGCUUACCAAGGCAACGAUGCGUAGCCGACCUGAGAGGGUGAUCGGCCACACUGGAACUGAGACACGGUCCAGACUCCUGCGGGAGGCAGCAGUAGGGAAUCUUCCGCAAUGGGCGAAAGCCUGACGGAGCAACGCCGCGUGAGUGAUGAAGGUCUUCGGAUCGUAAAACUCUGUUAUUAGGGAAGAACAAAUGUGUAAGUAACUAUGCACGUCUUGACGGUACCUAAUCAGAAAGCCACGGCUAACUACGUG